AUUGAACGCUGGCGGCAGGCCUAACACAUGCAAGUCGAGCGGAUGAAGGUAGCUUGCUCCUGGAUUCAGCGGCGGACGGGUGAGUAAUGCCUAGGAAUCUGCCUGGUAGUGGGGGAUAACGUCCGGAAACGGGCGCUAAUACCGCAUACGUCCUGAGGGAGAAAGUGGGGGAUCUUCGGACCUCACGCUAUCAGAUGAGCCUAGGUCGGAUUAGCUAGUUGGUGGGGUAAAGGCCUACCAAGGCGACGAUCCGUAACUGGUCUGAGAGGAUGAUCAGUCACACUGGAACUGAGACACGGUCCAGACUCCUACGGGAGGCAGCAGUGGGGAAUAUUGGGCAAUGGGCGAAAGCCUGAUCCAGCCAUGCCGCGUGUGUGAAGAAGGUCUUCGGAUUGUAAAGCACUUUAAGUUGGGAGGAAGGGCAGUAAGUUAAUACCUUGCUGUUUUGACGUUACCAACAGAAUAAGCACCGGCUAACUUCGUG
rnacentral:rRNA from 1 species